rnacentral:rRNA from 1 species
CCUACGGGGUGCAGCAGUGAGGAAUAUUGGUCAAUGGGCGUAAGCCUGAACCAGCCAAGUCGCGUGAGGGAUGAAGGUUCUAUGGAUCGUAAACCUCUUUUAUAAGGGAAUAAAGUGUGGGACGUGUCCUGUUUUGUAUGUACCUUAUGAAUAAGGAUCGGCUAACUCCGUGCCAGCAGCCGCGGUAAUACGGAGGAUCCGAGCGUUAUCCGGAUUUAUUGGGUUUAAAGGGUGCGUAGGCGGCCUUUUAAGUCAGCGGUGAAAGUCUGUGGCUCAACCAUAGAAUUGCCGUUGAAACUGGGAGGCUUGAGUAUGGUUGAGGCAGGCGGAAUGCGUGGUGUAGCGGUGAAAUGCUUAGAUAUCACGCAGAACCCCGAUUGCGAAGGCAGCCUGCCAAGCCAUGACUGACGCUGAUGCACGAAAGCGUGGGGAUCAAACAGGAUUAGAUACCCCAGUAGUC